AGAAGUGAAGAGGAUCAGGCUGUAUCAUUUGUCACUGCACUGACUGCCAGGGUUGACUUGAAUGAUCUAGCUGCUUGGUGUCAUUUUCCCCCUUCCUUCCUUCCAGCUCCACGUGUGUUCUUCUCAAAGUUGCACAUUUAGUCAAAGAGGAUGAUCUUUCUUUGGUCAAGCAUAUACCUGCUCUUCCCAGGUAGAACCUCCAAACAAGCUCUCAAGGUCCAAAUGCAUACCAGUAUGGCUAUAGUUACUGAAGUUUGCUCUUGGGAUAACUU
ensembl:misc_RNA Gm26102 predicted gene, 26102